rnacentral:tRNA from 1 species
GGGUAUAGCUCAGUUGGUUAGAGCGCUUGCUUGACAUGCAAGAGGUCGGUGGUUCGAGUCCACUUAUCCU